rnacentral:lncRNA from 1 species
CCUGAGAACUGGUGAUGGGGAAGCUUUCUCCAGAUGAUCAUUUAGAGACUUAGGAUGGUAAGAAAGGAUUUUUCACCUUGCACAAAUGACAACAACAUUGUUGUAAUUUCUUUUUCUUGCAGGUGAAGGACAGAAAAGGGGCAAGGACUUUCUUCACAUCCCUCUGCCACUGUCCACUGACUCUUUAUGUGUAUUAUAGUUUCUUCCACCAACCUGAAGCUUCCUGUGGGAUGAGCAGCAGGACAGCUGCCUUCCUCCUAGUCUUGUGGCCAAGGGAGGAAGAGGAGCCUGGCCAGGGAAAUCCCAGUUUCCUUGGCAGGGCUGGUCUUUGCCCUGGGGAAAGGUUGUCAGCUUGGGGAGAGAGCUGUGACAUCCUGCCCUGCCUGACCCCAGCUUGGGUUCUCUUCAAUGCUUCUGUUUCUUACAACAAAUGUCCUGUAAUUCAAGCUUUGUGUAGCAAAAAACCCAGGGCAAAACAUGGCUUUGAAGGUGUGCAGCUACCCUUGGAGCUGAAGUGGAAAGAGCCACUGCAGUAGUGCUGUGAGCUCAGCCGUGUGGGUCCAGCAUUGAGGGGGAAAGGGAUGCACAUCCAAGGUAAACUACUUUUUAAAAAGGUACUAGCUAAAUGUUUCUAUGUGUAUUUAGUCUUUUCCCACUCCUAUUUUUGUUGCAGGAAGUGAUCCUCUGCUACCUGUGGGGUACCUGGGGUGGGAGGAUUGAGGUAGACUAUGAGAUUACCAUGGGGCUGUUUCUUCUUUAAGGCAAAUAUGUUAAAGUUUGAAUUGGUGUGUGAAUGUAACUUGCAGCACUGGCACUCACCGGUAUUUUACAAUUAGGAGUCCACAAAAAAUGUGGAUUAGGCAAUUAUCCUGUGUAAGACUUCUCCCCGUGGCACACCAGCUACUCUUCAUGUUUGCUGUAUUUUCAUAAUAACUGAACUUAACAUAUUCUCCAUUCCAAAGUUCAUUCCAUUUCUUAGUACUUUUCAGUCAAAGGUGCCUUUUCACACCUGGCUGUCAUCCAAAUUGCCUGUUGAAGGCAUUUUUGAGGAAACUUGAAGUUUGAGUGUUACUAAAGUGCUGCCUGCUAAACUAAAGUCAGAUUGGUUCAAUGUUAAUGUAGAAGAGUAGGUAAAUAUAAAUACAGAAAUAUCAAAACAAAUAUAGAUAAUUUAAAAAUAUCACCCUGUGCUCAAGGUAGGUUGGUUACAUUUCAUUACCUAUUUUAUUAUUUUUCAUUUAAGAAUUAUGCACUGCCAUAUGUAUCUAUGGAGCUGCCCUUCUACUGCUGCUGUUCAUAUAUUAGAGGAUUCUUUUAUAGUUAUACAAAAUCACAUUAUGUUGUUUUCUUUCAAAAUCUUCCUCGAACUUGCACCUCAAGAGUGCCUACAAAUACAGUUUUGUCUACAGCUUGUUGCAGGUAUUUUUGCUUCUGUCUUUUGACUGUCUGUCUGAAUAUGUAUCUUCUCUCUUGACCUCUUUAUUUGGGAGUCCCCUGAGGCAAGAGCCUCAUACAGCACCUGGAUCCUUGCCCACA